rnacentral:rRNA from 1 species
CGCGCAGGUGGUUUCUUAAGCCUGAUGUGAAAGCCCACGGCUCAACCGUGGAGGGUCAUUGGAAACUGGGAGACUUGAGUGCAGAAGAGGAUAGUGGAAUUCCAAGUGUAGCGGUGAAAUGCGUAGAGAUUUGGAGGAACACCAGUGGCGAAGGCGACUGUCUGGUCUGUAACUGACACUGAGGCUCGAAAGCGUGGGAGCAAACA